rnacentral:misc_RNA from 1 species
GUAAAAAAACCAAACCGAACCGAAGGUUUACUUAAAAUGCGGCUGUUUUCAUCUGUGUGUGUGCCUAUUUUCUCACAGCCGGCUGCUCCCUUUCAGUUUGUUCUCUUCCUCAGUUUCAGCUCUUCUUUCUCCCUUCCUCUUACAGUGUGUUUGGAUGGAGUGUAUGGAGGCUUUUUAAAAUAAGGUAAUGAAAGGCAAAGUAUCAAAGCCUCCUUAACCUACCAAUUUGGUGGGUUGAAAAAGU